UACGAAGGACCCGAGCGUUAUCCGGAUUUAUUGGGUUUAAAGGGUGCGUAGGCGGAUUAGUAAGUCAGUGGUGGAAGCCCAUCGCUUAACGGUGGAAUUGCCAUUGAUACUGCUAGUCUUGAGUAUGGUUGAGGUGGGCGGAAUGUGUCAUGUAGCGGUGAAAUGCUUAGAUAUGACCCAGAACACCAAUUGCGAAGGCAGCUCGCUAAACCAUAACUGACGCUGAUGCACGAAAGCGUGGGGAGCAAACAGG
rnacentral:rRNA from 1 species